UACGAAGGGGGCUAGCGUUGUUCGGAAUUACUGGGCGUAAAGCGCACGUAGGCGGAUUGUUAAGUUAGGGGUGAAAUCCCAGGGCUCAACCCUGGAACUGCCUUUAAUACUGGCAAUCUCGAGUCCGAGAGAGGUGAGUGGAAUCCGAGUGUAGAGGUGAAAUUCGUAGAUAUUCGGAGGAACACCAGUGGCGAAGGCGGCCGGCUGGGCCUGUCCUGACGCUGAGGCGCGAAAGCGUGGGGAGCGAACCGGG
rnacentral:rRNA from 1 species